GGCGGAUUAAUCAUCAGCGGUUCCAAUUCUGUACUCAUUGACGUGAAAAUACGCCUUUCUGAACUUACGGGGUUUAUUCCUGAAUAAGAUCUAUAACUCAAGGCGGUGAAGAUGCCUAGUACUCCUGCCUUCUGUUUUCCACACAACAACCCUGUGAGGUGGGUUGGGCAGAGAGAGAGAGAGAUUUGCACCAUUUCUGUACUUCCUUCAAAUUUUUCAACUUAUUAGCAAAAUUAAAAACGUAAGCCACGAUGCAGCGUGUCGCCAGCACAGUCCGUUUAGUCCACACGUUCUGGGUAAAUGCUUAGUUCUAGUUAGUUGAAACAUGCUAAUUAUGAUAAUUAUGACAUCUUCUUUUGAAUUUGGGCUAUAUCAAUGUUUUUUAUGUGGGCGGCUGUAUAAAUGUUUUAAAUAAAUAAAUAAAUAAAUCUA